CUCUCUCCCAUUUCCAAUCUCAUUUUCUCUUUCUUCUUCAGCUGUCGGUCUCCAUUUCACCUAAGGAACUAGCUCCAUGGAAGUGGAGAAAUCAGUAUCCCAAGAUGCUAUUUCAACCGAACUAGUAAACCUUCUAUACAUUCGUUUUCUGAAAUCCCUCAAGUCGCUAGUCGAGUUGUAGAUCUCAAAUCUGCUGGGAACAGAUUCAGCUUCAUUAUUUCUCUAUUCUUCUCAAAAUCGAAAUUGAAAAAAAUAGUAUGGUAUCAAAUUAGAUGUGAGAUGUGAUUUGAAUCUAAGAGGUUUCAUGAUUAGUGUGAUAUGUGAUUUGAAGCAAGGGUUUUUGUUCGUGUUUUUUUUCUUCAGUAAAUGGAUAAUGAGCUCCCGGAUCCAUAGAUCAGCAUCAAGAACUCUUAGACCACUUACCUCUUAUCUAAAAGCUCAUCUCUUUUCAGCGAGGUAGAGAAGGCAAUAGAGGAGUCAAGUUGGUGGUGGAUAUGAUGUUAUUGUCGAUGUUAUUCCCAAGGAGGGAUUAUGUGGUAGAGGAAGAUUAUAAAUAAGAACAAGAGUAUCUCCGAUGAAAUCAGGGUGGAGGUACCAAGUGUCAUAUGCCCUGUAUUCUUUUUGAACUCUAGAUCAGUUCAUCAUCGAGAAGUUAGUCAUUACGAGGAUGCAAAACCUUGGAACGAAAGGUGCGAUCUUGCAUUCUACUGCACAACACGGAAUGAAAUCGAGAAAUCUGAUAUUGUUAGUUUGGUCACAGGCUCAACUAUGGCUUGUACUUCUCAAGCAGUUGAUGUACUGAGAAAAGCUAAUUUCUCCAACAAAGGCUGCUGGAACUGGAGAGGUAUGUCAUUGAUGAGAGGUGGGGAUUGAGUAACAUAAAUAUUGGAUCAGCACCGCUCUGACUCAGGAUUUAAACUUGGGUCUGUUGGACAUACAUCAGAAGCAAUAGUGAAGAAGUAUGGUGCCGUAAGGUUAACUUUUGAAGUUGAAGGCCUAACUAUUCUGAGAACAACCCAGCAAAAAAAAAAGACAUUUGAUGGUCCAUCACGCAAGGACUGGAGAGGUGGAAGGGCUGCUUCAUUCAGUAUCAUUCCUAGCAGCACUGCUCAGUUGAGGGAAAAGUUGGUGUGCAUCAUUUGGAUGAGGUUCUGCGAGAGGAAACUUCAUCGUCAAAUGCCACAGAGGGGCAUGAGAUACACUCGGUGAAUUCGUUAAAUUUUUAUCCGGUAACAUCCAAUUUUGUGAAUUGCCACUCAAUGCUUGUGUCAAGAUAGUUGGAUUGCAGUUGAUGCGGACAUUAGAUAAACAUCUAAACAUCCUCGGUCAUCAGUAUGUUGGGAUGCUUGUGAAAGGUACUCUAUUAUUGCCUAUUGGGUGAUUCUGUUGUUUGUAUGGGUGCUGGUGGUGGUUUGUGGGGAUGGAAUUGGGAAACACUCCACAUUUUAUUGAGUAUUGUGACCUCCCCGCAUUAAUCAGCUGAUGGCGGAACUUAUUUUUGCAGUAAAGGUAACUUUUUGAAGUAUGGGCUAGCUAAGUUCAUCAUCAUCGGAGUUCACCGUUUGCUGUUUAAUCAAUCGUAUAUUAGUUUAUCAUCUUGUAACGAAAUCUUAGAACUUAAUUAUUUGUCUUGUUGAAUGAACUUUUAUUGCUCUGAACUCAAUAUUUUAUUCAUUUUUUGUGUGAUUUGAACUAAGUGAAUCGAUGAAUGUUAAAUUGGAAGAUUAUCUUUGUGCAAAUUUAAUUUGAUUCUUAUUUGAGUUUGAUUUGGGUCUCA